rnacentral:rRNA from 1 species
AUUGAACGCUGGCGGCAGGCUUAACACAUGCAAGUCGAGCGGGGUGAUGGUGCUUGCACUAUCACUUAGCGGCGGACGGGUGAGUAAUGCUUAGGAAUCUGCCUAUUAGUUGGGGACAACAUCUCGAAAGGGAUGCUAAUACCGCAUACGUCCUACGGGAGAAAGCAGGGGAUCACUUGUGACCUUGCGCUAAUAGAUGAGCCUAAGUCGGAUUAGCUAGUUGGUGGGGUAAAGGCCUACCAAGGCGACGAUCUGUAGCGGGUCUGAGAGGAUGAUCCGCCACACUGGGACUGAGACACGGCCCAGACUCCUACGGGAGGUAGCAGUGGGGAAUAUUGGACAAUGGGGGGAACCCUGAUCCAGCCAUGCCGCGUGUGUGAAGAAGGCCUUAUGGUUGUAAAGCACUUUAAGCGAGGAGGAGGCUCUUUUGGUUAAUACCCAAGAUGAGUGGACGUUACUCGCAGAAUAAGCACCGGCUAACUCUGUGCCAGCAGCCGCCGUAA